GUAUCUGUGGCGCAAUGAAUCAGUGUGUCUGGCUGCCAACCAGAAGGUUGGUACUGUAGUUUGAGCCUGCUCAGGGAUG